rfam:Azospirillum humicireducens strain SgZ-5, complete genome.
CAUGCCGGGUAUCUCCGCCAGUCCGCGAGGUUCGCGCACUGGCGCUUUCGUG